rnacentral:snoRNA from 1 species
GCAUGUUAAAUUUAGCUGAACAAGUUCCUUUCCUCACUGGGGACCUGGUUAGAUGGCCACAAACAAGUUCCUGGGUGUAGUGUUUGUAGCAGAUGCUUGUACUGGUAACCAUGGGACGGAUCACGGAGACAGUC